rnacentral:rRNA from 2 species
AGUAACGGCGAGUGAAGCGGUAACAGCUCAAAUUUGAAAUCUGGCUCCUUCGGAGUCCGAGUUGUAAUUUGUAGAAGAUGCUUUGGGUUGUGGGCUCGGCCUAAGUUCCUUGGAACAGGACGUCAUAGAGGGUGAGAAUCCCGUAUGUGGCCAUGGCCCGCGCCUAUGUAAAGCUCUUUCGACGAGUCGAGUUGUUUGGGAAUGCAGCUCAAAAUGGGUGGUAAAUUUCAUCUAAAGCUAAAUAUGGGCCAGAGACCGAUAGCGCACAAGUAGAGUGAUCGAAAGAUGAAAAGCACUUUGGAAAGAGAGUUAAACAGUACGUGAAAUUGUUGAAAGGGAAGCGCUUGCAACCAGACUUGGGCGCUGCCGAUCACCCCGAGUUCUCUCGGGUGCACUCGACAGCGCACAGGCCAGCAUCGGUUCGGGUGGCUGGAUAAAGGCCGUAGGAAUGUAGCUCUCUUCGGGGAGUGUUAUAGCCCACGGUGCCAUGCAGCCCAGCCGGACCGAGGACCGCGCCUUCGGGCUAGGAUGCUGGCGUAAUGGUUGUAAGCGACCCGUCUUGAAACACGGACCAAGGAGUCUAACAUCUAUGCGAGUGUUUGGGCGUUAAACCCAUACGCGGAAUGAAAGUGAACGUAGGUGAGAACCCCUUUGGGGCGCAUCAUCGACCGAUCCUGAUGUCUUCGGAUGGAUUUGAGUAAGAGCAUAGCUGUUGGGACC